CCUACGUGUGGCUGCAGUGGGGAAUCUUCCGCAAUGGGCGCAAGCCUGAUGGAGCCAUGCCGCGUGUUUGAAUGAAGGCCUUCGGGUUGUAAAGACUUGUUGACAGGGACGAAUAAGUAAUGCAAAUAGCUUUGUGCAUGACGGUACCUGUUUAGAAAGCCACGGCUAACUACGUGCCCGCAGCCGCGGUAAUACGGAGGGAGCAAGCGUUUUCCGGAAUUACUGGGCGUAAAGGGCGCGUAGGUGGGCGGUUAAGUCAGAUGUGAAAACCCCGGGCUCAACCUGGGGACUGCACAUGAAACUGGGUGGCUUGAGGGCAGGAGAGGAGAGUAGAAUGCCAGGUGUAGCGGUGAAAUGCGUAGAGAUUAGGAGGAACACCAGUGGCGAAGGCGACUUUCUGGACGGUGCCUGACGCUCAGGCGCGAAAGCGUGGGUAGCGAACGGGAUUAGAUACCCUUGUAGUC
rnacentral:rRNA from 1 species